rnacentral:sRNA from 1 species
GCUCCCGAAGCCGUUCGCCUGCUGCGGGCGCGUCCUCGGGCCUAGGGAGGGGCGGGUCGCCCUCCUGUCCUGCCCGUGUUAACCAGAGAAGACCCCUGGCCUGGGCAGUAAGCCAGGGGGCGUCAGGAAACGCCCCCUAGAAAGUGGCUCUGAAGUUGACACCCGUCCUACUGCAUGGCAGGACUCAUUCCCGUGAACAUCACUUUGCAGCUGCGUUUAUGUUGCAAUAACUGGAACUACUCUUCUAAGUUUGUUUUCUUUGUAUGAAUUCCCGGCAAGUUCGUUUUACUAAAAGCACCAAAGGUUUUCACCAGACAUAACAGCUUCCUGAGGUAUUCCAACUUUAUUAUAUGGACUUGGCUCCUGGUUAUUUGCCAGAGUCACAGAGACUGUGCAUACCAGUUAUGGACCCAUAACAGUUUAUUUUCUCAAUAAAGAAGAUGAAGGUGCCAUGUA